AUGGCAAUAUAUUGUUCAAAAACCUUUCUUAAUCACAACUUGAUCAAGUUGAGAUUACACUUAAAUUCCUCAAAGUUCCAUGUGGGCAAUGCAUGCUUUUGUGAAGCCAUCUGCUACCUGGUCCUUGGAGUGAAUGAAGCAAAUUUGCAACUUCUUGGAAGCAAGUCUUUCUCUGACAAAAUAAAAGUCUAUCUCAAUGUGUUUAAUUCUCGCCUAAAAAACUGGGUUAGCAGAAAGAUAUGUGGCACGAAGAUUAUCACACCACAAGCAGGGAACUUGUUUAGAAUGUAUUCCGAGUUCCUUCAACAUAGACUAAACCCAAAUAAUUCCCGCUGUCGCAUUUGCUAA
rnacentral:rRNA from 1 species